UUUAGGAGCUUGAUUUUUGCAUGUUCCUAACAGUGUAAUAACAAAGGUUUUGAUAGUUAAAAUAGUGGAAUAGUCAGCUUCACACAGGACAGCACCCUUUUCUUUCUUAUGAUGAUCUGAAAACUACCAGCAGAAGAGAACUGAAGUAUUAACCCAGAAUGAGACCUCGUGCCAAAGACAAGGCUCACUUUCAGAGCAUCAGUCACCAAGACCAGGAGAACAAGGGUGUAGAGCCCAGGAUGAGAGCCAUGGGCACCCUUGGACUCAAGCUCCAGCUCCCAAUGGGGACCAUUCUCCUCCCAUUUUCCCCAGCACUGUGCACAGCACACAGGGAACCUCUUGUGUUUUGGGGUGGACUAACCCCAUCUCCUUCCCUAAGUGGACAUAUGUCAGGCCUGGCCAGAGAUGUCUGUUGACUGUUCAGCGAGGCUUGUCAGCAAUGGCUUGCUCUUUCCUCUGGGGCUGCUAAGCUGGCAGCAUCGUCGUAGGCCAUACUACCUUCAUGAAGAAAAAGCCUGAACUUGAAACCAAGCAGAAGCAAGCAGGAUCGUGAACCAGAGACAGAGCCCUGAAAAUACUCUUCGAAUCCCUAGAGCCAGCUGUUCUCAAAUACACGAUUCAAUGUAUUACCUUUUUAGUUUUUUGGGGGUUGAGGAAGAGUCUUAACUGAACUUAAACUGGGUUUCUGCAACUCUGUAGAAAUUUUCCUACUGCAAGACCAUUCAGAGAGAGAUGCAAUGUUGCUGGCUUUGAAGAUGAAGGAAAGGAUCCAACAGCCAAGGAAUAAUACAGAGGCUCUAAAAGCUGGAAAAGGCAGGAAACCUUCUUCUCUAGAGGUUCCACACAGGAACCUGAGGGUGCUUUGAUUUUAGCUUGGUGAGACACAUGUGCGAUAAUAAACCGGUGUUGUUUUAAGUCAUCAAAAAUAAUUUGCAAGUGCAGAAGAUGUACAAAGUUUCUAGAAGGCUCCCACAAUGCUAUCUUUGUGGAAUGUAAAUGAGGACAGGGGGAGGGGUUGGAUUUUUAUAAAAUUCUUAACAACA